UCACCCCUAGAAUGGUCGAAGGUCUAAGUGUUCUGUCACAUGUUCAUCAGUAUGUGGGAGAGAAGAGAGAGCCUAUGUCUACUCUCAGUGUUCUGACCUGUAAACACAUGAAUGAUUAGUAGCCUAAUAUU